rnacentral:rRNA from 1 species
CCUACGGGAGGCUGCAGUGGGGAAUAUUGCACAAUGGGCGCAAGCCUGAUGCAGCCAUGCCGCGUGUGUGAAGAAGGCCUUCGGGUUGUAAAGCACUUUCAGCGGGGAGGAAGGCGUUAAGGUUAAUAACCUUGUCGAUUGACGUUACCCGCAGAAGAAGCACCGGCUAACUCCGUGCCAGCAGGCGCGGUAAUACGGAGGGUGCAAGCGUUAAUCGGAAUUACUGGGCGUAAAGCGCACGCAGGCGGUCUGUCAAGUCGGAUGUGAAAUCCCCGGGCUCAACCUGGGAACUGCAUUCGAAACUGGCAGGCUAGAGUCUUGUAGAGGGGGGUAGAAUUCCAGGUGUAGCGGGGAAAUGCGUAGAGAUCUGGAGGAAUACCGGGGGCGAAGGCGGCCCCCUGACAAAGACUGACGCUCAGGUGCGAAAGCGUGGGGAGCAAACAGGAUUAGAUACCCUAGUAGUC